rnacentral:lncRNA from 1 species
AACCCAAUGCUUACUACUCAAUUUCAAUCGUCCUAUAUCCCCUGUGGCCCACAAUAAAACACCUAAACAGCACACAUAAGACACAGUAUCUGAACUACAAAACAAAUCCCUACCGACAAAAAGAAGAGUUUUUAAUUUCUGGAUUUUACACAACUAUUGACAAUUUUGUAUUCAUGAUCGAAUAAAAUAGGACGGCAGACACACAAUAAGCAUAAAAAUUUCGAACAAACAGCUAACCUGUAGAAAUCCACAGAUUUGAUUUUACUUGUUGAAACCAUGAUUUUUGGAAAAAUUAUUAAGACAAUAAAAACGUCUAAAACUAUGAAUCACUAACAGAUUCGUAAAAGAAGGGGUUUAUUCGAUUUCUCAGAAUCUAUAAAUCCAAUAGGAAUGGAUGUUACAAUAUGCAAUGCAGGCGUUUAAAGCGGGAUUAUUUUGUGUCUUUAAUGCAUUGCAAAUUAAUUAAAUGCGUUGCGAAUUAAAUGAAAAUUAAAAAGCAAGAAUCGG